AUGUCCGGCUCGGCGUCGACGACGCUGCAAUACACGGGGAUCGGCGCCUUCGUCGCCAUCGUCCUCCUCGGCCUCGUCUACUUCGGCCGGUCCAUCAUCACCGGCCGCCACGAUGUCCACACCAGGCAUGACACGGCCACCGCGAGCCCGGGGCAGCAGCUGGGCCUUGCCCCCGACGACAUCGCCGUGCUCCCGACGUUCACGUACCUCGGCGCUUCGCCUGGCCGCUGGGGCGGCGGCGGCGGCAAGGCCAAGGCCAAGGCUGUGGCAGCGGACAGCUGCGCGGUCUGCCUCGAAGAGCUCCGCGGGGGCGCGCUGGUGCGCAUGCUGCCGUCGUGCAAGCAUUACUUCCAUGCGACCUGCGUCGACGUGUGGCUGCUGUCGCACGCGACGUGCCCAGUCUGCCGAGCGAGCCCGGCGCCCGAGAAAGUCCGCCUGGGCGCGGUGUCCAUGUCGCCGCCGCUCCCGCAGCUCCGACCAUACGGCGGGUCGCCCAAGGGAGGCGAUGUUUCCAGGUUGUCGUCUCCAGCGGUCAGGUCUUCGACGCAGCCGGAGCUUUUCCUCCACGUGAGCAAUGCCCACUCAGUAAUGGCGCCGUCGCCGACUAGACCUGCGACGCCGGACAGACGAGUGUUUCGGUCAAGUUCAUCUUCUCAGGCGAUGACAGAUUUGCAUUUGGCGGAGGCUGUGUAA
rnacentral:rRNA from 1 species